rnacentral:rRNA from 1 species
AACGAACGCUGGCGGCAUGCCUAACACAUGCAAGUCGAACGAGACCUUCGGGUCUAGUGGCGCACGGGUGCGUAACGCGUGGGAAUCUGCCCUUGGGUUCGGAAUAACGUUUGGAAACGAACGCUAAUACCGGAUGAUGUCUUCGGACCAAAGAUUUAUCGCCCAGGGAUGAGCCCGCGUAGGAUUAGCUUGUUGGUGAGGUAAAGGCUCACCAAGGCGACGAUCCUUAGCUGGUCUGAGAGGAUGAUCAGCCACACUGGGACUGAGACACGGCCCAGACUCCUACGGGAGGCAGCAGUGGGGAAUAUUGGACAAUGGGCGAAAGCCUGAUCCAGCAAUGCCGCGUGAGUGAUGAAGGCCUUAGGGUUGUAAAGCUCUUUUACCCGGGAUGAUAAUGACAGUACCGGGAGAAUAAGCCCCGGCUAACUCCGUGCCAGCCGCCGCUGUAACAC